rnacentral:rRNA from 1 species
UACGAAGGGUGCUAGCGUUGUUCGGAAUUACUGGGCGUAAAGCGCGCGUAGGCGGCUUAGCAAGUCAGGGGUGAAAUCCCACAGCUCAACUGUGGAAUUGCCUCUGAAACUGCUAAGCUUGAGUGUCGGAGGGGAUAGCGGAAUUGCUAAUGUAGAGGUGAAAUUCGUAGAUAUUAGCAGGAACACCGGUGGCGAAGGCGGCUAUCUGGACGACAACUGACGCUGAGGCGCGAAAGCGUGGGGAUCAAACAGG